rnacentral:rRNA from 1 species
AGCAUAUCAAUAAGCGGAGGAAAAGAAACCAACAGGGAUUGCCCUAGUAACGGCGAGUGAAGCGGCAACAGCUCAAAUUUGAAAUCUGGCCCCCGGGUCCGAGUUGUAAUUUGUAGAGGAUGCUUUUGGUGCGGUACCUUCCGAGUGCCCUGGAACGGGACGCCAUAGAGGGUGAGAGCCCCGUCUGGUUGGACGCCAAUCCUUUGUAAAGCUCCUUCAACGAGUCGAGUAGUUUGGGAAUGCUGCUCUAAAUGGGAGGUAUAUGUCUUCUAAAGCUAAAUAUUGGCCAGAGACCGAUAGCGCACAAGUAGAGUGAUCGAAAGAUGAAAAGCACUUUGAAAAGAGAGUUAAAAAGUACGUGAAAUUGUUGAAAGGGAAGCGCUCAUGACCAGACUUGGGCUUGGUUGAUCAUCCAGGGUUCUCCCUGGUGCACUCUUCCGGCCCAGGCCAGCAUCAGUUCGCUGUGGGGGAUAAAGGCUUCGGGAAUGUGGCUCCCUCGGGAGUGUUAUAGCCCGUCGUGUAAUACCCUGUGGCGGACUGAGGUUCGCGCAUUCGCAAGGAUGCUGGCGUAAUGGUCAUCAGCGACCCGUCUUGAAACACGGACCAAGGAGUCGUCUUCGUAUGCGAGUGUUCGGGUGUCAAACCCCUACGCGUAAUGAAAGUGAACGCAGGUGAGAGCUUCGGCGCAUCAUCGACCGAUCCUGAUGUUCUCGGAUGGAUUUGAGUAAGAGCAUACGGGGCCGGACCCGAAAGAAGGUGAACUAUGCCUGUAUAGGGUGAAGCCAGAGGAAACUCUGGUGGAGGCUCGCAGCGGUUCUGACGUGCAAAUCGAUCGUCAAAUAUGGGCAUGGGGGCGAAAGACUAAUCGAACCUUCUAGUAGCUGGUUCCCCA